rnacentral:lncRNA from 1 species
CUCCUACUGUGAUGUAAAUGCGUGCAGUUUUUUUACCACCUUGUUUGGGGAAGGACGAGGGAAGAAGCUGGCCCUUGUUCCAUUCAGGUGCUGCGGUUUUGAACAUCCUAAUUCACAGUUGGUGGAAUCCGUGGGCGCAGAACCCUGGAUGUGGAGAAUCUGGCUGUGUUACUUUCUCUGAGGCAAAAAAGGGGGUGCUGCUCUCCGGACAAUGAAAGCCUACUGUUACAUCUGGCACCCCACCUGACAUGAAAAUGCCCAACCCUCUCAGCCACUUUGUUAAUGACAGCACUUCAAGCGGCACCAUUUGUAAUCACUGAAACUUGGAAACAAAGCAUCAGCUGGAGACUGGAUGAAGAAGAUGUGGUCUUUCUAUAAAAUGGAGUACUACUCAGCCAUAAAGAAUGAGAAACUGGAGCUGGGGAUUUAGCUUAGUGGUGCCACUGCCUGCCUUGCAAGCACAAGGACCCGAGUUCGAUCCCCAGUACCAAAAAAGGAAUGAGAAACUAGAGUCAUUCAUAGGAAAAUGGAUGUACACUGAGGCCAUACUCUUAAGUGAAAUAAACAAG